UACGGAGGGUGCGAGCGUUGUCCGGAAUCACUGGGCGUAAAGCGCAUGUAGGCGGCUGGACAAGUCGUGUGUUAAAGCCCCUGGCUCAACUGGGGGAGGUCAUGCGAGACUGUACGGCUGGAGGGCAACAGAGGCACGUGGAACUCCCGGUGUAGCGGUGGAAUGCGUAGAGAUCGGGAAGAACACCAGUGGCGAAGGCGACGUGCUGGGUUGCACCUGACGCUGAGAUGCGAAAGUGUGGGAAGCAAACGGG
rnacentral:rRNA from 1 species